rnacentral:rRNA from 1 species
UACGUAGGGUCCGAGCGUUGUCCGGAAUUACUGGGCGUAAAGAGCUCGUAGGUGGUUUGUCGCGUUGUUCGUGAAAACUCACAGCUCAACUGUGGGCGUGCGGGCGAUACGGGCAGACUUGAGUACUGCAGGGGAGACUGGAAUUCCCGGUGUAGCGGUGAAAUGCGUAGAGAUCGGGAGGAACACCAGCGGCGAAGGCGGCAAACUGGAUAGGCACUGACACUCAACAACGAAAGCGUGGGGAGCAAACAGG